GAGCCAUUGCACAUCUUUUUCCUCUGCUUUUGCCUCUGGAUACAUAAAUUGUGUGCACUAAGCUCGGUCUCAUUAAUUUUACCACAAUUUGGGCAUCCUUGAAAUUGGAGGAAGAGAGAAAUAUGGGUCUUUGUGAAACAGGUACAAUUUCACAAUUUUCCUGCCCUUCUCCAGCCUGGCUGAAAUCUUAAGGCUUACUAUUUGAAGAGUUUGAACCACAGGACCCUGGACUCUAGACACUAGGCAAGGGGACCAACCAAACUGAAAAGACAGGGAUUAGGUGAAAUUCUUGGAGUUAGUCACCAAACUCUCUGAAUGUUGGCAGCAUCAUUAUUAAGGCAUUUUCCUUCCACCUCUUAAAUUAGAAGACCAGGGUCUCCUUUCUGGUGAAACUGCCCAGCCUAUGAGGAAAGACCUGUAGAUACUGAAGUUGGGGUUCUUACAUGAAUCACCAAAGAGUGAAGUCUUCCAAUUUCCAAGUGUGGCCCAAGCCUGUUGAGUGUCCUAUCAACUCAGUUUCAAGAGAAUAGUCAAGGAUCACUGAGCACUUGAAGAAAGAUUAUGACAUGAAUAAAAGGAAUUCAGAUGAAACAGA